CUGCGGAAGGAUCAUUGUCGUGACCCUGACCAAAACAGACUGCGCACGCGUCAUCCAAUCCGUCGGCGACGGCACCGUCCGUCGCUCGGCCAAUGCCUCGACCACCUCCCCUCCUCGGAGCGGGUGGGGGCUCGGGGUAAAAGAACCCACGGCGCCGAAGGCGUCAAGGAACACUGUGCCUAACCCGGGGGCAUGUCUAGCUUGCUAGCCGUCCCUCGUGUUGCAAAUCUAUUUAAUCCACACGACUCUCGGCAACGGAUAUCUCGGCUCUCGCAUCGAUGAAGAACGUAGCGAAAUGCGAUACCUGGUGUGAAUUGCAGAAUCCCGCGAACCAUCGAGUCUUUGAACGCAAGUUGCGCCCGAGGCCACUCGGCCGAGGGCACGCCUGCCUGGGCGUCACGCCAAAACACGCUCCCAACCACUCUCAACGGGAAUCGGGAUGCGGCAUCUGGUCCCUCGUCUCUCAAGGGACGGUGGACCGAAGAUUGGGCUGCCGGCGUACCGCGCCGGACACAGCGCAUGGUGGGCGUCCUCGCUUUAUCAAUGCAGUGCAUCCGGCGCGCAGCUGGCAUUAUGGCCUUUGAACGACCCAACAAACGAAGCGCACGUCGCUUCGACCGCGACCCCAGGUCAGGCGGGACUACCCGCUGAGUUUAAGCA
rnacentral:rRNA from 1 species